AGUUAAAUCAUGGUAGCUGUAUACUGUAAACACCGACGGGUGCCUUUUCGCUCUGCGUCUCACUAUACCUAUGGUAUAUGUUUUGCCGUCAUUGAAUCAGCGUUGCAGCGAUGCCAACGACGACGUCGCCGGCAUUUGCAAGUUUAUUAGAGAGUCUCGGGCGCCUAGCUCGAACGCGAGGGAGGCUGCAGCUAUUCCAUCGCCACACGGCUGCAAAGCAGUAAAACAGGCAAGCAAGCAACGCAGCCGCGACAGUCUAGUUUACUAAAACAUCGGCCUGGCGCGCCUGUCGUGUACCGCCCCGAGGAAAGACGCUACUGAAUCUUGGACGGCAAACGCGCAGCGUGUCCGCCAAGUCGCAAGAAACGCCGCCGAGAUCUGGCUUUGCUUAUAAUACGACUCGAGAUUGAUAAUGAGCCCAUCAACACCGCCUACACACAUGUUCGCAAGCUGAUGCUGCACCUAAAGCGCUGCAGCACAACGAUAUUGCGAUUCGAGUAGAGGUAUAAGCGUUACGCAGAGAGAAGGGAGCGGCUCUAAUGGACCUUUGAGCUUACCGGCGUGGGUCAGCAGCCCGUCGGGUAUUGCGCGCGCCGCAGUCGAUUGCAAGUCGUUUCGCGAAAAUUAUUUUCCUUCGAUAUAAUAUCGCGCGGCCACCGCCACUGGGGAAUUCCUCCGCGGGAAUUGCGGAGCAUCGGGUUUUAUCGUUGAUGACUUCUGCUCAUUUUGUCGUUUUAUCCCGUAUACUUGCGAUUGAUGAUGUUAUAAAAGCUUUGGUUAACGCAUAUAAAUAGUAAUUAUUCAACUGAUGAAAAUUAAUUAGACGAUACGUCGGAUUUGAAGAGCACUUCCUCAUCCGCGAAGAGAAAACUUCUGAUCGAAACCUUAAGAAAUCACUUAAAACCAUAAGAGAACGCCCAAGUAAUAACACAUGCCUCACGAGCGUCUGUAGAUCCAUCCGAAAUCGUGGUAGCUACUCAUAUUCGGCGACGAACGCGCGCCUCUCGAAAAAGAGAUCGAGCGAAGGCAGGAUGUCGCCUUGACUGUCUCCCCCGACUUCUCUCUUCGUCCUUUUUUCUUUCUGCUCUCCGUUCUUCCACUGCAGCGUCUUUCGCGUGUCUGGCAGAAGCCGGAAGACGCUUCGCGGAAGGGCAGAGACUUGCUUUUUUAGCGGGGAACCGGCCAGACGGUGCAGGCUUUACCUUUUUCCCCCUCUUUUUUAGGGACUCGUUAGAGGCUCAAUCAGAUGCAGCAAAAUUCUGGACUUUGCCUGGCUAUUAGGGACUUGCGCUUGAUUGCUCUCGUUAAAUACCUGUCAUUGACUGAGUUAUUAUGUUUCGAGCGUAAAGGUAAUUACGAAGGAAAUCGCGUUCAUGCUAUACAAAGUUAUCUAUUAAAAGUCCCUCUGUUAUUUUUACGUGCAGAAAUUUUAAAUAAAUUUCUCCUUGAAAUGUCCCAACUCCAGCGCGCGAAAAAGGUGAAAAAUUGCGCGACUUGUUGCUCGCGCCUUCUAAUUCAGUCUGCGAGGAUAAAGGGGAGCCUCUGUCCACGCGAGUUAAUCUCGAUUCUGUUUAUAUACACGGCGUGUUUACACGCGAAAUCCCUGAGCAUUCUUGCGCGCGUAGAAAACUAAUGGAAGCCGCGGGUAGGCGUUUUUCCAUUCGCGAGGUCUAAAUUUACGCCGCGAAUAUCAAUGGGCGUGCGUGUGCGCGGGCAAAGUGCUUUAGCCCUUUGACGCCGGAGUUUCUGCAUAUUGCGUCGACUCGCCUUUUCUGAUUUAUGCAAAUUUGAGUAUUAAAUGUAGAAGACCGCGAGUACGCGAAUUAUUUUCAUCAAGCCCAAGUUCUUACUGAUUCUUUGUUACAAUAAUUAAAAUGUUUUCACAUAAAGGGUAAGCAUAUGCAAGGUAGAGUAACCACUCGAAAAUAAACACAGUCGGAAAAGCAAUAAAGCUCAUCCGAAAGCAUCCUCAAAUUAGUCACCCCUCUCCCUCUUUUCCACAAAGCUUCUCGACUCUCCCUUUCGCUCCAUAAACAUCGAAAAACAACAUCCUCGGCGCGACACACGCCCGUUUUCCAGUAGCUCUCGACUUUCCGCCGCCGCUCGUGUGUCGGCGACACGCGCCGAUUUUCGUUUCCGUCUUCCGCUAGCUUUCCUCCUCCGCCUUCUCUCUUUCGGAAUUGUAUUACGGGGGCCGAUUCGGCCGCUCAGCGUGAAACCUUCGACGAAGGAUGCGCGCACUCGACGAGUCGCUCGCUUGCUCGAAUUUCGGAAGCCGGCCGACGCUGCUCUAAAAGUGGCGGCGAGCCACUUGGACCAAAGAAAAACACACCCGCCUCUGCGAGAGAUGGCUAUCGAUCUCUCUCGUGUGUGGACUGAUUUCCAAGCUUUUUUUCCGACUGAGACACGUGGGAGUGCAUUGGAGGAACGUGGCGAGGAUUAGGAGAUGAAGGAGCAAUGAGAAAUAGAGUAUUGAAUACUUGUGAUUUGUCGAUUGGUCAUGAUUCCUUCUUUAUACGAAUUCAGUAAAACGAAGUAAGUUGGA